CAUGGCGGCGUCCAGCAGCAGCUGCAUGCAAAUGCAACAGCAGCCUGUGGAUCUCUUCUCGUACAAGCACGAAACGUUGAAUCCCAGCAUCGAGAGCAGUAGAAACACGUACCAGGAUCCCUUUUCUCAUCUCCCGCAGCUGGAAAGCUACGAGUAAGCAGUAGCUUGCAAGGCGCGCCAUUUUCUUCUUUACCCCUACACUGUGACAUUCCAAAAGCAUAAGGACGGCCACCAACACAAGCGCAAAAAGACAACAUUGAUAAGUCUUGCUCGAUGUGAAUAGCUAACCUUUGACAUCGUCCGUCAACCCUGUGAAAUUGUUGAUCCUUCACUAACAUUAUCAAUAAUAAAGCGAGAGAGAAAGAAGAUCGAGAGCG